GAUGAAGAACGCAGCGAAAUGCGAUAAGUAGUGUGAAUUGCAGAAUUCAGUGAAUCAUCGAAUCUUUGAACGCACAUUGCGCCCCUUGGUAUUCCAUGGGGCAUGCCUGUUCGAGCGUCAUUUCAACCAUCAAGCCCUGUUUAGGCUUGUGUUGGGGCCCUGCGGCUGCCGCAGCCCCCUAAAUGCAGUGGCGGGCUCGUUGUCACUCCGAGCGCAGUAGCGUAUCUCGCUCUGGGUGUGGCGGCGGGUGCUAGCCGUGAAACACCCACUAAGGUUGACCUCGGAUCAGGUAGGAAUACCCGCUGAACUUAAGCAUAUCAAUAAGCGGAGGA
rnacentral:misc_RNA from 1 species